CUGCUGCGCAAGCACGAGCUCGACGGCGCCGGCAAGAAGGCGUCCAACAGGUCUUGGGUGAACCUCUACUGCGUCCUGGCCAAGGGCGACCUGGGCUUCUAUAAGGAUGCCAAAGGUCCCGCGGCCGGGGCCACCCACGGCGGGGAGCCUCUGCUGAGCCUGCACCGCGCCACCAGCGAGGUGGCCAACGACUACAAGAAGAAGAAGAACGUCUUCAAGCUCAAGACCAGCGAUGGGAGCGAGUUCCUGCUGCAGGCCAAGGAUGAGGAGGACAUGCAGGGCUGGCUGCGGGCGCUGGCCGCCAGUGCUCAGGAACACGCCGAGCUGGCCCGGUGGCAACAAGGCCUUCUCACCACCUCCUCCACUGACGAGGGGCUCCCCCGGCGCGAUCCCGACCGGCCCCGGCGGAAGUGACCGCCACUUUGGGGUCCUGGCCCCACAAAAAACACACAUUUCGGGGUCCUGGCAUCCUCAAAAAAUCUA
rnacentral:lncRNA from 1 species